ACCUCGGGAAACUGAGGAUAAUGUUUCAUAGUUGAAAAGGCUUGGAAAAGUUUUUCAAUCAAAAGGAUAAGAAAAAUGGUUUUUAUCCGCUAUAGGAUAGGAUCGUGGUCGAUUAUGGUUGUUGGUGAGGUAAUGGCUCACCAAGCCGAUAAUCGAUAGGGGCCGUGAGAGCGGGAGCCCCGAGAUGGGUACUGAGACAACGACCCAGGCCUUACGAGGCGCAGCAGGCGCGAAACCUCCGCAAUACACGAAAGUGUGACGGGGUUACCCAAAGUGUUCAAUUUUGAACUGUGGUAGGUGAGUAAUGUCCCCUACUAGAAAGGAGAGGGCAAGGCUGGUGCCAGCCGCCGCGGUAAAACCAGCUCUUCAAGUGGUCGGGAUAAUUAUUGGGCUUAAAGUGUCCGUAGCCGGUCUAGUAAGUUCCUGGUAAAAUCGGGUAGCUUAACUAUCUGUAUGCUAGGAAUACUGCUAAACUAGAGGGCGGGAGAGGUCUGAGGUACUACAGGGGUAGGGGUGAAAUCUUAUAAUCCUUGUAGGACCACCAGUGGCGAAGGCGUCAGACUGGAACGUGCCUGACGGUGAGGGACGAAAGCCAGGGGAGCGAACCGGAUUAGAUACCCGGGUAGUCCUGGCCGUAAACGAUGCAUACUAGGUGAUGGCAUGGCCAUGAGCCGUGUCAGUGCCGUAGGGAAACCGUUAAGUAUGCCGCCUGGGAAGUACGGUCGCAAGGCUAAAACUUAAAGGAAUUGGCGGGGGAGCACCACAAGGGGUGAAGCCUGCGGUUCAAUUGGAGUCAACGCCGGGAA
rnacentral:rRNA from 1 species